AUCCAUAGGCAACAACUACCCUGACGGAAAACAGUGACGCACAUAAAACACAGCACCCUUUCUACGGGCGUGUGGGGGGAGGGUUCUUGAAGUGUAUCAUCCAAUCGAAAUCUUGCCGCUGGGAGCCAGCAGCCCAUUUAAACCGUUUUGUUUCUUCUUCUCCUGACCUUCGAGGGAGGCGCGAUAACAAAAUGAUUAUGGAGGUAUGGCAACGCAUGCCCUUUAUACUCUACAUCAAGUGUCCUUAAUUGGACAAUGAUUUACUUGAUUCUGGGCAGCUUUUAGCAGUGCAGAAAUGCCAAUUUGUCUAUGGCCAUAUCACUUUCACGCUCAUUAAUCUGGUGGUUUAGCUCCCAUUUUAGGCUGAGUCCCAAUUGUUGUCACAGUGCAAGAUCUUACAGUAAUUUAAUCAGAAUACAGCAGCAUACUGUCAUUUUAUAGAAAUACCACCUUCAAGUUAUAUACAGUACCAGUCAACAGUUUGGACACACCUACUCAUUCAAGGGUUUUUCUUUAUUUUGACUAUUUUCUACAUUGUAGAAUAAUAGUGAAGACAUCAAAACUAUGAAAUAACACAUAUGGAAUCAUGAAGUAACCAAAGAACUGUUAAACAAAUCAACAUAUAUUUUAUAUUUUAGAUUCUUCAAAGUAGACACCCUUUGCCUUGAUGACAGCUUUGCACACGGAUGGCAUUCUCUCAACCAGCUUCAUGAGGAAUGCUUUUUGAACAGUCUUGAAGGAGUUCCCACAUAUGCUGAGCACUUGUUGGCUGCUUUUCCUUCAAUCUGCAGUCCAACUCAUCCCAAACCAUCUCAAUUGGGUUGAGGUCUAGUGAUUGUGGAGGCCAGGUCAUCUGAUGCAGCACUCCAUCACUUUCCUUCUUGGUCAAAUAGCCCUUACACAGCCUUGAGGUGUGUUUUGGGUCAUUGUCCUGUUGAAAAACAAAUGAUAGUCCCACUAAGAGCAAACCAGAUGGGAUGGCGUAUUGCUGCAGAAUGCUGUGGUAGCUAUGCUGGUUAAGUGUGUCUUGAAUUCUAAAUAAAUCAGUGUAACCAGCAAAGCAAACCAGACAGUGUAACCAGCAAAGCAUCCCACACCAUCACACCUCCUCCUCCAUGCUUCACGGUGGGAACCACACAUGCGGAGAUCAUCCGUUCACCUACUCUGCGUCUCACAAAGACACAGCAGUUGGAACCAAAAAUCUCAAAUUUGGACUCAUCAGACCAGAGGACAAAUUUCCACCAGCCUAAUUGCUUCUGUAUCUUGGCCCAAGCAAGUCUCUUCUUAUUAUUGGUGUCCUUUAGUAGUGGUUUCUUUGCAGCAAUUCGACCAUGAAGGCCUCACUGCACUGCACAUUCUCUCCUUGCUUCCCAGCACCAUCAUCUACCCUCGCCUGUGUCCCAAAUGACACCCUAUCCCAUAGGGCUCCGAUCAAAGGUAGUGCACUAUGUAGUGAAGAGUGUUCCAUUUGGGAUACACACUAUUUUUGUUCAUUUUUUUUUUAAAUCAUCAUUAUUAUCAGUUUUAUUAUAUUAUUCUUGCUACUGUUAUUUUCUUAGAGUUAAACAUUUCAAUUAACUUAUAUUUUUUUUAUACAAAUAAAUUGUUUUAAAUGUUGGCCUUUUGGUUUUGUACAAAGUGAACAUGAAGAGAAGCAGAAUGCUCUAGUCAUGUUAUAACUGCUAUACGAAUGUUCUUAGAUGUGUUAUAACUGUUAGAAUGGUCUAGACGUGGUGUAACGGAGGAAUGUCUCAGCUGUAAAUGUAAGAGAGUAUUAAUGAUGAUGAGUUUUUAUAAAAUAUUCCUGAAAAACACCAAUGUAUUCUACAUGUGUGAGCUUCCAUGACUGUUUUCACAGUGCUUCGACACGGUAUGUCUGUUUUAGCUACUAAAAGCCUAGUAUGAGGCUGAUUACAGCCUAAUAGAAAGAUGAAAAACAAAAUCCUUUUCUGAGGACGAUAAAGUCUCUAUAAAGUAUCCAUCUAUCAUUCCAGAUUUGCUUAUCAUGGUGACGCUCCUUUUGGGUAGGGGAAUAUUUUUUUGUUCUACGUUUGCCAGUAAACGAAUACAGAAAGACAUCAUUAAGUACCAUAAUCAAUUAUUUGAUCGAAAAAUCUCUGGAGAGACCUGAAAAUAGCUGUGCAGCGACGCUCCCCAUCCAACCUGACUGAGCUUGAGAGGAUCUGCAGAGAAGAAUGGGAGAAACUCCCCAAAUACAGGACUGCCAAGCUUGUAGCUUCAUACCCAAGAAGACUCAAGGCUGUAAUCACUGCCAAAUGUGCUUCAGCAAAGUACUGAGGGUCUGAAUACUUAUGUAAAUGUCAUAUUUCAUUUAUUUUUUUUGUUGCAAAAAAAAUAAAUGUUUUUGCUUUGUCAUUAUGGUGUAUUGUGCGUGUAGAGUGAUGAGGGGGAUAAAAACAAUUUAGUCCGUUUUAGAAUAAGGGUUGUUGUAACAACGAAAAUGUGGUCAAAGUGAAACGGUGUGAAUACUGUCUGAAUACGCUACAUGUUGCUGUCUUGGCCUGUAUUCACAGAGCGUCUCAGUAUAGGAGUGCUAAUCUUCUCCAUUAUGAACCUACUACUCUAAAGACGCUUUGUGGAUACGGCUCAGGUCUCUCAAAGACAUUUAUUAUCUCUACUGAGACUAUCUUGGUUAAAUAACUUUUUUUUUUUUAAAUGUCCUAAAAAAUGAUUAACAGAGCCAGUCUCCUCUCACUGUUGUUCUGUGAUCUGGUUCUAUUCACACGGAGGGACAAAAUAUGGAGCACUCUACGAUAUGACAACUAGUAAAUUAGUCGUUUUUGGAACAGUGCUGCCUUUUGUCCACUAGGGUGUACUCUCUGACAAGUUUAUCUAAAGACCACUACCAGACUUUUAAAAAUAAAUUUAACUAAGUCAGUUUUAAGAACAAAUUAUUAUUUACAAUGACGGUCUACCCGGGCGACGCAGGGCCAAUCGUUAGCCACCCUAUGGGACUCCCAAUUACGGCGGGAUGUGAUUCAGCCUGGAUUUGAACGAGGGACUGUUAGUGACACCUCUUGCAUUGUGAUGCAGUGCCAUCAUCCGCUGCGUGACUCAGGAGCCCGUCUUCCUGGAAGACAGGAUGAUUAGCAUUAUCCAAGCUGCACAUCAUCACUAAAUCAUUUUUUAUUCAAUCUGACGUUUUAAUUCCUCUGAUGGUAACAGAAGUACAAUGGCAUUAGUUUACACCAGCAACAAACACACAUUAAAAUGUAACAUAGUCCGUCCAAGAGUAAAUUAUGCUGUACGACAUAAUUGAAAUAUCUUAUUUGACUUAUCCGACUAUUUACCAGUGUUGUGACAAUAAAGAUAUAAUUGAGGCUUUUGUUAAAUAUGGUGAGGAUAUUAAUACAAGCAAACCACACAACCAGAAGUCCAAAUAUGGAUUGAGGCACAUUAAAGGCCCAGUGCAGUCAAAAUUCAUUUUUUUCCUGUGUUUUAGAUCAUAUUGUACAACAGCUGAUGAAACUAACACUGUAAAAGUGUGAAAACAUUUGAUCAGUGUUAUUUCCUGAUAGCUGCUGGUUGAAAAAAAUACAGUCUACAUAGGACUUUCAUGGCGACAUCAACAUGCGGUAAAUUGGUAAAUAGACCAAUAAGAAAGAGAGUUCCAAACCUCUCUCGGGCCAAUAACAGCUAGUUUUCAGUUAUCCCUUCCCCUCUCAGACCCAGACCACUCUCAGACCCCUCCCAGACCCCUCCCAGACCCCUC
rnacentral:lncRNA from 1 species